rnacentral:rRNA from 1 species
CGCGAAUAGCUCAUUACAACAGCUAUAAUUUACUUGUUCGAUCCCUUAAACGGAUAACUGAGGUAAUUCUUGAGCUAAUACGUGCCCAAAGCCGCGGACUUCACGUCUGCGGUGCACUUAUCCUCGCAAAACCUUUCCUGGUACACUGCUAACUCUGGAUAACCCACGCUUACCAACAUGUAUUUGUUGGAGUUACAUUCAAGUAUCUGCCCUAUCAACUAGCCGUUAGUGUAUUGGACUAACGGGGUGUUAACGGGUAACGGAGAAUCAGGGUUUGACUCCGGAGAGGGAGCCUUAGAAACGGCUACCAUGUCUAAGGACAGCAGCAGGCGCGCAACUUAUCCACUGUUCAUAGAACGAGAUAGUGACGAGAAAUAACAAGCCUGUUCUCUAUGAGGUCAGGCAUUGGAAUGGACCGAAUCUAAACCUUUCGGUGAGUAUCAAUAAGAGGGCAAGUCUGGUGCCAGCAGCCGCGGUAAUUCCAGCUCUUAUAAUGUAUAGAAUUAUUGUUGCGGUUAAAAAGUUCGUAGUUGGAUUUCAUACUUGUCGGGGUCGGGGUUAACGCCCCGUACUCGGGCAAGUUUUUCGGCUGCUGCGUCGCAAGACGGGGCGUCGGGAUUACUUUGAACGGCUUAAGUGCUCAAGGCGAGUCUUCGGACUGAAUACCGGUGCAUGGAAUAAUGGAACAAGGUCUUGACCGAGUUUUAUUGGUUUUGUCGGCUAAGACAAUGGUUAACAGGAACAGCCGUGGGCACUUGUAUCGCUGCGCGAGAGGUGAAAUUCGUGGACCGCAGCGAGACACACGAAAGCGAAGGCAUUUGCCAAGAGUGUUUUCAUUAAUCAAGAACGAAAGUCAGAGGUUCGAAGGCGAUCAGAUACCGCCC